AAUAGAUACCCUGGUAGUCCACGCCGUAAACGAUGAGUGCUAAGUGUUAGAGGGUUUCCGCCCUUUAGUGCUGCAGCUAACGCAUUAAGCACUCCGCCUGGGGAGUACGGCCGCAAGGCUGAAACUCAAAGGAAUUGACGGGGGCCCGCACAAGCGGUGGAGCAUGUGGUUUAAUUCGAAGCAACGCGAAGAAUCUUACCAGGUCUUGACAUCCUCUGCCAACCCUAGAGAUAGGGCGUUCCCCUUCGGGGGACAGAGUGACAGGUGGUGCAUGGUUGUCGUCAGCUCGUGUCGUGAGAUGUUGGGUUAAGUCCCGCAACGAGCGCAACCCUUGAUCUUAGUUGCCAGCAUUCAGUUGGGCACUCUAAGGUGACUGCCGGUGACAAACCGGAGGAAGGUGGGGAUGACGUCAAAUCAUCAUGCCCCUUAUGACCUGGGCUACACACGUGCUACAAUGGAUGGUACAAAGAGCUGCGAACCCGCGAGGGUAAGCGAAUCUCAUAAAGCCAUUCUCAGUUCGGAUUGU
rnacentral:rRNA from 1 species